ACGAACGCUGGCGGCGUGCUUAACACAUGCAAGUCGAACGGAAAGGCCCUGCUUGCAGGGUGCUCGAGUGGCGAACGGGUGAGUAACACGUGGGUGAUCUGCCCCUUACUUUGGGAUAAGCCUGGGAAACUGGGUCUAAUACUGGAUAGGACCAUGCUGUAGGUGGUGUGGUGGAAAGAUUAGUUUCGGUAAGGGAUGAGCUCGCGGCCUAUCAGCUUGUUGGUGGGGUAAUGGCCUACCAAGGCGUCGACGGGUAGCCGGCCUGAGAGGGUGGACGGCCACUUUGGGCUGGGGCGCGAGCCCCCACCCCCCGGGGGGGCGGCAGGGGGGAUUUUGUCACAUUGGGCGAAGCCCUGAGGCAGCGCGCCCGCGGGGGGGGUGACGGCUUCGGGUUUGAAACCUCCUUUCAGCAUGGAGAAACCCCUUGUGGGGAGGGUAGUGGUAGAAGAACCCCCGCCUACCUACGC
rnacentral:rRNA from 1 species